UACGAAGGGUGCAAGCGUUAAUCGGAAUUACUGGGCGUAAAGGGUGCGUAGGCGGUUGUUUAAGUCUGUCGUGAAAUCCCCGGGCUCAACCUGGGAAUGGCGAUGGAUACUGGGCAGCUAGAGUACGGUAGAGGAGAGUGGAAUUCCCGGUGUAGCAGUGAAAUGCGUAGAGAUCGGGAGGAACAUCAGUUGCGAAGGCGGCUCUCUGGACCAGUACUGACGCUGAGGCACGAAAGCGUGGGGAGCAAACAGG
rnacentral:rRNA from 1 species